UGGGGAAUAUUGCACAAUGGGCGCAAGCCUGAUGCAGCGACGCCGCGUGAGGGAUGACGGCCUUCGGGUUGUAAACCUCUUUCAGCACAGACGAAGCGCAAGUGACGGUAUGUGCAGAAGAAGGACCGGCCAACUACGUGCCAGCAGCCGCGGUAAUACGUAGGGUCCGAGCGUUGUCCGGAAUUACUGGGCGUAAAGAGCUCGUAGGUGGUUUGUCGCGUUGUUCGUGAAAACUCACAGCUUAACUGUGGGCGUGCGGGCGAUACGGGCAGACUUGAGUACUGCAGGGGAGACUGGAAUUCCUGGUGUAGCGGUGGAAUGCGCAGAUAUCAGGAGGAACACCGGUGGCGAAGGCGGGUCUCUGGGCAGUAACUGACGCUGAGGAGCGAAAGCGUGGGGAGCAA
rnacentral:rRNA from 1 species